rnacentral:rRNA from 1 species
AGAGUUUGAUCCUGGCUCAGAUUGAACGCUGGCGGCAUGCUUUACACAUGCAAGUCGAACGGUAACAGGCCGCAAGGUGCUGACGAGUGGCGAACGGGUGAGUAAUGCAUCGGAACGUGCCCAGUCGUGGGGGAUAACGCAGCGAAAGCUGUGCUAAUACCGCAUACGAUCUAUGGAUGAAAGCGGGGGACCGUAAGGCCUCGCGCGAUUGGAGCGGCCGAUGUCAGAUUAGGUAGUUGGUGGGGUAAAGGCUCACCAAGCCAACGAUCUGUAGCUGGUCUGAGAGGACGACCAGCCACACUGGGACUGAGACACGGCCCAGACUCCUACGGGAGGCAGCAGUGGGGAAUUUUGGACAAUGGGCGCAAGCCUGAUCCAGCAAUGCCGCGUGCAGGAAGAAGGCCUUCGGG